GAUGAACGCUGGCGGCGUGCCUAAUACAUGCAAGUCGAGCGAACAGACGAGGAGCUUGCUCCUCUGACGUUAGCGGCGGACGGGUGAGUAACACGUGGAUAACCUACCUAUAAGACUGGGAUAACUUCGGGAAACCGGAGCUAAUACCGGAUAAUAUAUUGAACCGCAUGGUUCAAUAGUGAAUGACGGUUUUGCUGUCACUUAUAGAUGGAUCCGCGCCGCAUUAGCUAGUUGGUAAGGUAACGGCUUACCAAGGCAACGAUGCGUAGCCGACCUGAGAGGGUGAUCGGCCACACUGGAACUGAGACACGGUCCAGACUCCUACGGGAGGCAGCAGUAGGGAAUCUUCCGCAAUGGGCGAAAGCCUGACGGAGCAACGCCGCGUGAGUGAUGAGGGUCUUCGGAUCGUAAAACUCUGUUAUUAGGGAAGAACAAAUGUGUAAGUAACUAUGCACGUCUUGACGGUACCUAAUCAGAAAGCCACGGCUAACUACGUG
rnacentral:rRNA from 1 species